rnacentral:rRNA from 1 species
GACGAACGCUGGCGGCGUGCUUAACACAUGCAAGUCGAACGGAAAGGCCCUGCUUUUGUGGGUUGCUCGAGUGGCGAACGGGUGAGUAACACGUGAGUAACCUGCCCUGGACUUUGGGAUAACUCCAGGAAACUGGGGCUAAUACCGGAUAGGAGCUCCUGCUGCAUGGUGGGGGUUGGAAAGUUUCGGCGGUUGGGGAUGGACUCGCGGCUUAUCAGCUUGUUGGUGGGGUAGUGGCUUACCAAGGCUUUGACGGGUAGCCGGCCUGAGAGGUUGACCGGCCACAUUGGGACUGAGAUACGGCCCAGACUCCUACGGGAGGCAGCAGUGGGGAAUAUUGCACAAUGGGCGGAAGCCUGAUGCAGCAACGCCGCGUGCGGGAUGACGGCCUUCGGGUUGUAAACCGCUUUCGCCUGUGACGAAGCGUGAGUGACGGUAAUGGGUAAAGAAGCACCGGCUAACUACGUG